CUCUAUUUACCAGCAGUCAAUAUUGGAAACUGGUAAUACCAACAGCCAGGAAGAAAAAACACUGACAGAGGACCUGAGCAAUACCAUCGGCCAGGUGGAGCUCGAGGAGAGCGAUGAGUACAACUGUCAGCAUGAAAAUGAUGAGUCCUCAUCUGAAACUGGCAACAACAUUGGCCAGGAAUGCCCAGAGGAAGAUUAUCUGGGCAGUGACCUCCGGGAGGAAAAGGCUGAAGAGAUUGUUGAGGUAUGGCAAGAAGAAGAAAUAAAAGAAACGACCAUAGAAAACGAUGGAAAGGAGGGAUGGCAACAAGUGCAAAUAAGAAAAGUGGUCAUAGAAGUCAUCAAUGACCAGG